rnacentral:rRNA from 1 species
GUGGUACGGGACGGGCACGCGCGACAUUAGGUAGUUGGCGGGGUAAGGGCCCACCAAGCCGACGAUGUCUAGGGGUUCUGGGAGGAAGGUCCCCCACACUGGAACUGAGACACGGUCCAGACUCCUACGGGAGGCAGCAGUGAGGAAUAUUGGUCAAUGGGCGAGAGCCUGAACCAGCCAAGUCGCGUGAGGGAUGAAUGGUCUAUGGCCUGUAAACCUCUUUUGUCAAGGAAGAAUAAAUCGCACGGGUGCGAUCUUGCCAGUACUUGACGAAUAAGCAUCGGCUAACUCCGUGCCAGCAGCCGCGGUAAUACGGGGGAUGCGAGCGUUAUCCGGAUUUAUUGGGUUUAAAGGGCGCGUAGGCGGGACGUCAAGUCAGCGGUAAAAGACUGCAGCUAAACUGUAGCACGCCGUUGAAACUGGCGCCCUCGAGACGAGACGAGGGAGGCGGAACAAGUGAAGUAGCGGUGAAAUGCAUAGAUAUCACUUGGAACCCCGAUAGCGAAGGCAGCUUCCCAGGCUCGAUCUGGCGCUGAUGCGCGAGAGCGUGGGUAGCGAACAGGAUUAGAUACCCUGGUAGUCCACGCCGUAAACGAUGCUCACUGGAUCUUGGCGAUACACAGCCAGGGUCA